GAUGAACGCUGGCGGCGUGCCUAAUACAUGCAAGUCGAACGAUCCGCCUUUGGCGGAUAGUGGCGAACGGGUGAGUAACACGUUGGUACCUACCCUGAAGUGGGGAAUAACUGGCCGAAAGGUCGGCUAAUACCGCAUAAUACCGCAAGGUUAAAGUAGCAAUACGCUUCGGGAGGGGCCUGCGUCCCAUUAGCUUGUUGGUGAGGUAACUGCUCACCAAGGCGACGAUGGGUAGCUGGAUCGAGAGGUUGACCAGCCACACUGGGACUGAGAUACGGCCCAGACUCCUACGGGAGGCAGCAGUAAGGAAUCUUCCACAAUGGACGAAAGUCUGAUGGAGCAACGCCGCGUGCAGGAUGACGGUCUUCGGAUUGUAAACUGCUUUUAUAUAGGAAGAUUAUGACGGUACUAUAUGAAUAAGCACCGGCUAACUACGUGCCAGCAGCCGCGGUAACAC
rnacentral:rRNA from 1 species